rnacentral:lncRNA from 1 species
AUGAAAUUGGACAUAUUUGAAAAGAUUCACAACUUUUUUAGGCCAUAAUGCAGUUCUAUAAAGUUUUGAGGUAAAACUAUAAUUUUAAAAAAUAAUUACUGUAGCAGUCACUGUAGCAAGUGGCUAAUCGGAUUUGACAAGCGGUAGACCAAAUUUUGGGCAGUAGCUCACUAGAAUAAAAGUGGCUAACCGGAUUCCAAAAGCGGCAUGCCGGAUGUUUUAAAAUUCAAAUAUUUGCUGUAACGGUAACAUAAAUGUGGCUAAUCGGAUUCCGAAAGCGGCAAGCCGGUUAUCAUCAGAAAACACAUAACGGCUAGUUUUUGGGCUCAAACUAUAUAAACUCAAAUCCAAUUCAUUUUCAAUAUCUCUUUGCAAGUAAAAAAAAAAAGCACAUAACAUAUAUUGAGCUCUCAUUUCGUAAAAUAAUCAUACUUUGAAUUAUAUUUGUGCUUUAAUUUGUAUAUCUACUCUUUAAGAGAGUUUUUGCUGUAAUCUUCAUUUCCUCAUCAAAUUUGUGAGUGUAUAAGUGUGAGAAAUACUUUGGUUAAGAGAUUGUGGAUCAUCUCUUGUUGUAAAGGUUCAUUGACAUCUUGGAAGUCAAUUGUAAGCAUUUGAAGCAUUGGGAGGCUUGGAUAAUGAAAUCCUCAAGCCCGGUGUGCUUAGAGGCGUGGACGUAGGCGGGAAUUGCCGAACCACAUAAAAAUGAUUGUGUUUGUUUUCUCUUCCCUUACUCUUUUAAUUAUUGUGAUUUAUUGAAUUUAUUGUUUUCAAUUCCAUUAAGGUAUUAGAUUGAAUUGUUAUGUGAUUUGCAUAGUUUAAGUUUUAAAAACUCAAUUCACCCCCCCCCCCUCUCUUGGGUUGUAUAACUUGUAUUUCAUAAAAUACCAAUAUUAUUCUUGAAAUUUAAGGGAGCCAUUUUAAUUUUUAAAUUUUUAAAUGUAGCCCAACAAAGUCAUAGAAAGAUAAACAAAGAAU